GGGAGUGAAUGGGUCCUGGUGGGCCUCCUGGUCUUCAAAACCAGUCGCGGGGCGAGAAACCCCGGGUGGGUUCGAUUCCCACGCACUCCC
rnacentral:tRNA from 2 species